rnacentral:lncRNA from 1 species
GAGAACUGUAUUUGUUAAUUAAUAAGUAAAUGAAGAUAAUAAACACUAAGUGACAUUUUUCCUUGGCUUCUGCUUUAUUCAUUGUAAGUAUAUUCUUUCGGAUCAACCACCACAACCUAAAGAAGCGAAGUAUCAUAAUAACAAUGGUGAUGAUAGCAACAAAAUGCUAAGAUCAAACACACAGAAAAAAACCAUGUUGAUGCUCAACAUACGAUUUAUGAACAGGAUAAGCAAACAAAACUUUCACAAAACAGAUCUUACCCCUAAUCAUAUGUUAUAUACUUGAUACUACACCACAAAGUGACGUUUCCACGUCUACAGAACUGUAAGCAGAAUGGCACGAAGAAGAUUUCAGACCUUACCUAUCUACUCAUGUUUUACUUAAACCCCUCCUAAUGGCCACUACAAUUAGCUCUCCACAUAUAUCAUCUCAAUUUUUACUAUCAACUUUUAUUAUCCAUCAAAUAUAGAAAACAACUUUUGCAAACCUAAUUCUAAACCGAUACUUGAGAUGAAAGAUGAUCCAUAUUAAGGAAGAUGGAGAAAAUAUCAGUGACCUGUAUGUAACUCCUAGUAAGAAUUGUACAAAACAGAAUGGGACAAGCAUACCUAUGUAAUUAGAUAGUCAUGGUUUAGGCUUGACAUCGUAGACCCUUAUAUCCAAAGGAAGGUAGCCAACCUGGGCCAGAAAAUCAUCGGAAUCGUAACCCGACGAAGACCUGCUUGAGGACGGCGACUCCGGCGAAGACUCUUGCAAUUUCUCAUCGGCCUCCAACUUCUGACGCUUGAGAUCAGG